AAAUAUUUUGUUGUAGUGGUCGAGUUCAUCAUAUUUAUAUUAAAAUAAUGGUGAAAUGAAUUAAUGCACGAAUUCACCAAACUUUAAUCUUCAAAUUGUACUACAUGACGAGCCGAUAGUAGAUACACUUUUCAUGAAGUUUUCAUUAUAGUCAAACUGGUGUAUACAUUAAUAGUGACAAUGGAAGAAAGACUUGCGAAGAAAGAGGCACAAAACUGGCUUAAAUGUAUGUUUGCAACAUAUACGACUAGGGAUGUAUUUGCACAAUUAGCCGAUCUCGGAUUUAAAACAUUUUACUCGCAUGUACGGAGGGACAUUCAUGCACAACACGGUAUACUCGAAACAAAGAGGUGUAGUUUAUGUAGUAACCCUUUCAACCAGUGCCGUUUGUGUUCAGAAAUAUGUUAUCAAAUUUGGAACUUCCAUCGGUUUAAAAGAGCAAACUUGAAAGGCCCAUCAUGGAGCAAUACGGAUUGCACAAAAUGGUGCACUGAAUCUUGGGAAGUGGCAAAGUGUUACAUGCCCCCCACUGGUUACAGGGAUAAGCCAAAUGCCGACAUUACGGACUUCAAUGGAAUUAUUAAUGCAAUAUACAAUUGUACCUGGAUGCAGUGCUAUUUUAGUGAUGAUCUUAGUAAGGAUUCGAACAUCUGCACAAAGGCACGAGACAAAGUUAAUGGAUUGCGACACAUACAUGACACGAAAAUAGAUGAUGGGGAUAUGAUCAGCUUCUUCGAUUGUCUUUUAAAUCUUCUUAAUGAUCCUGCAUACCUAAAUAGUUUUAGACCAGCAGUAGAUGCGUGCAAAUACCUUACACAGCUACAAAAAGAUACUCUGCAAUUGUCCGAAAAGGCUAUACACAACACGUUGGAAAACCUCUAUGUUGACCGAAAGGAAGGUAAAAACACUUUUGCUACUUAUAAAAACCGUGUUUGACGACCUAUAUGUUACUAAUC